GCGAAGGUGGCGAAAUUGGUAGACGCACCAGGUUUAGGUCCUGGCGCCGCGAGGCGUAUGGGUUCGAGUCCCCUCCUUCGCACCA
rnacentral:tRNA from 3 species